UUUCCGUAGGUGAACCUGCGGAAGGAUCAUUACAAGUGACCCCGGUCUAACCACCGGGAUGUUCAUAACCCUUUGUUGUCCGACUCUGUUGCCUCCGGGGCGACCCUGCCUUCGGGCGGGGGCUCCGGGUGGACACUUCAAACUCUUGCGUAACUUUGCAGUCUGAGUAAACUUAAUUAAUAAAUUAAAACUUUUAACAACGGAUCUCUUGGUUCUG
rnacentral:misc_RNA from 1 species